rnacentral:rRNA from 1 species
UUAGUUUAUAUUGAAUUUAACGUUUGUGUGAAAAGGCAUAAAUGAUUUAGAGGGACGAUAAGACCCUAUAAAACUUUACAUGUUGAUAUUAUCUAGUGAAAUUGUUAAGUGAAGAUUAUUAUAUGGUUGAUUGUGUUUUGCUGGGGCGGCAGGAAUAUAAUGGUUAACUGUUUUAAAAAUUAAAUAUUUAUUAAUAGAAGAUGGUCCUUUAUUUAAGAGGUAAGAGUAAGUUACUUUAGGGAUAACAGCAUAAUUUCUUUUGAGAGUUCAUAUCGAAGAUGAUAGUUGUGACCUCGAUGUUGAAUUAAAUUUUCUUUUAGGUGUAGAAGUUUAAAGGGAGGGCCUGUUCGGCCUAUAAGUAUUUACGUGAUCUGAGUUCAGA